GCCGAAGUGGUGGAAUUGGUAGACACGCCAUCUUGAGGGGGUGGUGAGCAUAGCUCGUGCGGGUUCAAGUCCCGCCUUCGGCACCA
rnacentral:tRNA from 8 species